rnacentral:snoRNA from 1 species
AGCGACUCUACUUCAAAGAAUCAUUUCAUUAGUAGACGUCCUUCGCUGUUUUUCCGAAAAUAGCCACAAAUCCCACCCUUGCUGAUGACCUCCAUGUCCUCGACGCCCUAAAGUGAAAUUUUUGAGCAGCUUUCUUGCGAAAGCUGCUUUCUUACUCCCGCCUCGAUCGCGCUGUGUUGUCUCCGGACGACACGCCGAUUCAGGGAGUGGUGAUGAUCUUUACCUUGCUUCCAGUGUCUGACUUCGGUCGGCUGGACUUGGUGGGUGUCGAGGAGGUCUGAAAGGU